GAGAUUAGCGUGUGCUGUCCUGCUUACAGGUCAAGCCCUUUACUGGCUGACCUCUCCCCUCCAACUGCUUAGCUUCCUUCCUUCCCUCUUUCUUUUGAGACCAAAAUGCUCUUGAAUUUGUGAUCCUUCUGUCUCAGCUCCCAACUCUGAGAGUUACAGAGACCUCUCCUACACCUGAUCUAAAACCCCUACUGCUCAAGGAGCAACUUGAAAACCACGAUGCUCUCCUCAGCUUUUAAAACCAUUUCAAAUCUUUUGUUUUUUUAUGUGUAUCUGUCUGCAUGAAUGUAGGACACUGAGUGCCUGUGGAGGUCAGAAGAAGGUGUUGGGCCCCUGGAGCUGAGUUACAGUGUUUUUCCUAGGACCUGGAAGGUGAAGCCAGGAGCAUGCCCAACGCUCACGCCAGCUAGCCUGGUGUCUGCAGUGGAGAAGACAAACAAACCCCCACGAAGCCUUGUCUUAAACAAGAUGGAAAGGCCAGAAAACAUCUAGAAGAAGGAGGGAAAUGGGAAAGUUCUAAGCAAAAGCCUGCAAGGCCUCUUGAGGUGAGUGACAGGUCGGGACACCCCUAUCCCAACUGGAGCUACUUACUACAAACCCACCCCGCAGCCUUUCUCCAAGGAAAAGCAGAUCGCUGAGCUUCGAAAGCCUCCAGACCUGAAGGACAGCUCUCACAGAAGGAAAAGCUGCUGCCUCGGGUGUCUACACUGUUUUUUUUGUGUUUUGAGUAUUCACACGGGGUCCUAGUCUGUGCCCGUCACGGAGGACAUAAAUCACUCAGCAAUCCCCCCGGAGAAUCGGAGAGUGUUUUGUUUUGUGGUGUCUGCUGGGCAGGUCCCUGUCUGUUUUUCUCAAGUCUUGAGCUUCUCACUAGCUUCUAGGCUGCUAAGACCACACUUCGCUGGCUGUUGCUUUCUCUGUGUGCACAGGAAAUGUCUGUAGGUCUGGCAAGUACUUCCUCCUCUCUCCACACUCCCAUUCCAAACUGUGCAUUCAAUAUUCCAGAACCUUUAACCUCCUUCUCUCUUAGCACACUCGGGGUCACAUUUUCUAUUAAGUUAAAAAGACUCCAUUUUCAAUCAGCUACCUUAGAAGGACUGUGUUUGUCUUUAAUAUCCCUACAAAUCCCAACUUAAAAACUGUAACACCACUCUUUUUUUUUCCCUCGUUGUUUCUUUGGUUGUUGUUUGUUUUUUUAAGACAGGGUUUCUCUGUGUAGC